UAAGCAGGGAUAGUGUGUAUCGGCUUUGUGCGAAUAUUGUGCACUUAGUUCGAAAGAGUUCUCUGCCAUAACGAUUUGACAAGGGGAAGGUGGGCAGUUGUGUUCCAUUUUUAUCCAUUGGAAAGUUCAACAAUCAUCUUCCCUACAUUC